AUGAAGUCCUUAAGGGGAGGGU
rnacentral:miRNA from 1 species